CGUCACUCCGGUGUGAACACAUAGCACCGGUAGAGGGAACCGGGGGAAUUGAAACAUCUCAGUACCCCGAGGAAAAGAAAACAACGUGACUCCCUGAGUAGCGGCGAGCGAAAAGGGACCAGCCCAAACCCAAAUGGUGUUAAAGCCUGGUGGCGUUGCCAUUUGGGGGGUUGUGGGACUCGAGAGCAGGCGCACCAGAACCUGCACGGAGUUACCAAGUUGAUGCGUAGUGGAAGCGCUUUGGAAAAGCGCGCCGCAGUGGGUAAUAGCCCCGUACACGAAACGUACUCAACCUCCGCUCGAUCAUCCCAAGUAACGCCGGGACCGUGAAAACUGGCGUGAAUCUGCGAGGACCACCUCGUAAGGCUAAGUAUACGUAGACGACCGAUAGUGAACCAGUACCGUGAGGGAAAGGUGAAAAGUACCCCGGGAGGGGAGUGAAAUAGUACCUGAAACCGUUGGCAUACAAUCAGUCAAAGCGUCGUCAUGACUUCGGUCAUGGCC
rnacentral:rRNA from 1 species